CCAGACUCCUACGGGAGGCAGCAGUGGGGAAUAUUGGGCAAUGGGCGCAAGCCUGACCCAGCAACGCCGCGUGAAGGAAGAAGGCUUUCGGGUUGUAAACUUCUUUUAAGAGGGACGAAACAAAUGACGGUACCUCUUGAAUAAGCCACGACUAACUACGUGCCAGCAGCCGCGGUAAUACGUAGGUGGCAAGCGUUAUCCGGAUUUAUUGGGUGUAAAGGGCGUGUAGGCGGGAAAGCAAGUCAGAUGUGAAAUCCGGAGGCUCAACCGCCGAAUUGCAUUUGAAACUGUUUUUCUUGAGUACUGGAGAGGCAGACGGAAUUCCUUGUGUAGCGGUGAAAUGCGUAGAUAUAAGGAGGAACACCAUUGGCGAAGGCGGUCUGCUGGACAGCAACUGACGGUGAGGCGCGAAAGCGUGGGGAGCAAACAGGAUUAGAUACCCCAGUAU
rnacentral:rRNA from 1 species